CAGGCUGCAACCCGCCUGUAUGAAGUUGGAAUCGCUAGUAAUCGCGGAUCAGCAUGCCGCGGUGAAUACGUUCCCGGGCCUUGUACACACCGCCCGUCACACCAUGAGAGUCGGGAACACCCGAAGUCCGUAGCCUAACCGCAAGGGGGGCGCGGCCGAAGGUGGGUUCGAUAAUUGGGGGUGAAGUCGUAACAAGGUAUC
rnacentral:rRNA from 1 species